AGUGGACCUUCGAAAGAUUACAGCAUGUAAUUGUGCAUUUUGGUUGAUCCAAAAAAGUUCUAGAUAUCAAGAACAGAACCUGGCAAAGCAUGGAAUCAACACACACAAUGAAAAGUCUACUUGGACACUGAGAAGUAAAAUGGAAAAUACCAGAAACAUCAGAGAACGGUUGUAAGCAACGUGACACAAGAAGAAAAUCCUUUAUUGUUGCUGUUGCUGCUGCUGAGUUUUCACAGGGGACCUUUUCAGAGAAUGAGAAAUAACCAGCAAUAACUUUGCUUCUUCCUAGUUGCUAUGACAGAAACUCAAACUUCACUAGAUCCAUUUGAAUGCCCCUUCCUGUACCCAAAAUGGUAGUAGAAAAGAGGAACAUGACAUGUACUGAUAAUACUACAUGAAGGUUACUUGGAGAAAUUCAAAUGCCUCAACAUAAAAAUAAGAAUUGUCUUAAUUUAAAACAAAAUAGCCAUAAAUUCCAAAUCUACAAUUUAGCUC